AAGUCGAACGGAUCCUUCGGGAUUAGUGGCAGACGGGUGAGUAACGCGUGGGAAGCUACCUUGUGGUAGGGGACAACAGUUUGAAAAGACUGCUAAUACCCUAUGAGCCCUAUGGGGGAAAGAUUUAUCGCCAUGAGAUGUGCCCGCGUUAGAUUAGCUAGUUGGUAAGGUAAUGGCUUACCAAGGCGACGAUCUAUAGCUGGUCUGAGAGGAUGAUCAGCCACACUGGGACUGAGACACGGCCCAGACUCCUACGGGAGGCAGCAGUGGGGAAUAUUGGACAAUGGGGGCAACCCUGAUCCAGCCAUGCCGCGUGUGUGAUGACGGCCUUAGGGUUGUAAAGCACUUUCAGCAGUGAAGAUAAUGACAUUAACUGCAGAAGAAGCCCCGGCUAACUUCGUGCCAGCAGCCGCGGUAAUACGAAGGGGGCUAGCGUUGUUCGGAAUCACUGGGCGUAAAGAGUACGUAGGCGGACUGAUAAGUUAGGGGUGAAAUCCCAAGGCUCAACCUUGGAACUGCCUUUGAUACUGUCAGUCUUGAGAUCGAGAGAGGUGAGUGGAACUCCGAGUGUAGAGGUGAAAUUCGUAGAUAUUCGGAAGAACACCAGUGGCGAAGGCGGCUCACUGGCUCGAUACUGACGCUGAGGUACGAAAGCGUGGGGGAGCAAACAGGAUUAGAUACCCUGG
rnacentral:rRNA from 1 species